GUGUCAGCCGCCGCGGUAAUACGAAGGGGGCUAGCGUUGCUCGGAAUCACUGGGCGUAAAGGGCGCGUAGGCGGACUUUUAAGUCGGAGGUGAAAGCCCAGGGCUCAACCCUGGAAUUGCCUUCGAUACUGGGAGUCUUGAGUUCGGAAGAGGUUGGUGGAACUGCGAGUGUAGAGGUGAAAUUCGUAGAUAUUCGCAAGAACACCGGUGGCGAAGGCGGCCAACUGGUCCGAAACUGACGCUGAGGCGCGAAAGCGUGGGGAGCAAACAGGACUAGAAACCCUGGUAGUCC
rnacentral:rRNA from 1 species